rnacentral:rRNA from 1 species
UGCAGUCGAGCGACUGAUUAGAAGCUUGCUUCUAUGACGUUAGCGGCGGACGGGGAGGAACACGUGGGCAACCUGCCUGUAAGACUGGGAUAACUUCGGGAAACCGAAGCUAAUACCGGAUAGGAUCUUCUCCUUCAUGGGAGAUGAUUGAAAGAUGGUUUCGGCUAUCACUUACAGAUGGGCCCGCGGUGCAUUAGCUAGUUGGUGAGGUAACGGCUCACCAAGGCAACGAUGCAUAGCCGACCUGAGAGGGUGAUCGGCCACACUGGGACUGAGACACGGCCCAGACUCCUACGGGAGGCAGCAGUAGGGAAUCUUCCGCAAUGGACGAAAGUCUGACGGAGCAACGCCGCGUGAGUGAUGAAGGCUUUCGGGUCGUAAAACUCUGUUGUUAGGGAAGAACAAGUACAAGAGUAACUGCUUGUACCUUGACGGUACCUAACCAGAAAGCCACGGCUAACUACGUGCCAGCAGCCGCGGUAAUACGUAGGUGGCAAGCGUUAUCCGGAAUUAUUGGGCGUAAAGCGCGCGCAGGCGGUUUCUUAAGUCUGAUGUGAAAGCCCACGGCUCAACCGUGGAGGGUCAUUGGAAACUGGGGGAACUUGAGUGCAGAAGAGAAAAGCGGAAUUCCACGUGUAGCGGUGAAAUGCGUAGAGAUGUGGAGGAA